rnacentral:ribozyme from 1 species
UAUAUGGCAUAUGUAUAUGCCCCAAAAAAAUAGAGAAAAAAAAACAAUAAAAAAAAAUUUUGAUAUCACAAUAAAUGGACACUUUGAUUUUUUUCGAGUGCUUGCGUUUGUUUUUCAUGUUUGUUUUUCUUCUAUGGUUUGGUUUUAAUUUUUUUUGGUUUUGUAGAAUUUUUGUCGCAUUUUGUUGUGAUGCAGCUUUGUUUGUGCUUCUGUUUUGCAAACAAUAAUUGAUAAAGAAAAAGAGAGCCACUUUGUAUUUCUUGUAAUAUUUUUGUUGUGACUGAAAAAAAAGAAAAAUGACUUUGUGUUUUAAAGUUAUUUGUUUCUUUUUUUCGAC